AAGGAUUUAAGUUAACGAAACUGGUAGCCUUCAAAGCUGAAAAUAAAGAAAUAUCUUUAAGCCUUA
rnacentral:tRNA from 1 species